CGUUCCUACGGGAGGCAGCAGUAAGGAAUAUUGGUCAAUGGACGAAAGUCUGAACCAGCCAUGCCGCGUGGAGGAUGAAGGUCCUCUGGAUUGUAAACUUCUUUUAUCUGGGACGAAAAAAGGUCUUUCUAGAUCGUCUGACGGUACCAGAUGAAUAAGCACCGGCUAACUCCGUGCCAGCAGCCGCGGUAAUACGGAGGGUGCAAGCGUUAUCCGGAUUCACUGGGUUUAAAGGGUGCGUAGGUGGGUUGGUAAGUCAGUGGUGAAAUCUUCGAGCUUAACUCGGAAACUGCCAUUGAUACUAUCAGUCUUGAAUAUUGUGGAGGUUAGCGGAAUAUGUCAUGUAGCGGUGAAAUGCUUAGAUAUGACAUAGAACACCAAUUGCGAAGGCAGCUGGCUACACAUAUAUGACACUGAGCACGAA
rnacentral:rRNA from 1 species